CAUUUAUUUUACAUGUCUGAUGGUAAAUCAUACUGAACGCUUACUAUUUUAGGUCCGUUAGGAUCACCUAAAUGAUUUACAUUUGCUAAAUGUCAGAAUAAUGAGAGAGUUUAUUUAUUUAUUUUGAGAAUUUUUCGUUAAUUUCUAGUCAGUCUAAAGUUUACACACAUUUCCUUGGUGUUUUUUAGCUUUGCUUUUAAACUCUAUAACUUUGGUCAGAUUUUGGCCCAUUCCUCCUGACAGAGUUGGUGUAACUGAGUCAGAUUUGUUGGCUGUCUUGCUCGCACAAGCUUUUUCAACUCUGCCCACAAAUUCUCUAUAGGAUUGAGAUCAGGGCUUUGUGAUGGCCACUCCAAAACAUUCACUCUAUUGUCUUUAAAGCACAUAUUAACUCAUUUGGCAGUAUGCUCAGAGUCAUGAUCUGUUUGGAGACCCAUUUGUGGCCAAGUUUUAAUUUCCUGGCUGAUGUCUUGAGAUGUUGCUUCAGUAUUCCUACAUGAUGUUCUUUCCUCAUGAUGCCAUCUGUGCUGUGAAGUGGACCAGUCCCUCCUGCAGCAAAACAGCCCCACAACAUGAUGCUGCCCCCCUAUACUUCACAGUUGGGAUGGUGUUCCUAGGCUUGUAAGCUUUCCCCUUUGUCCUCCGAAUGUAACACUGGUCAUUAUGGCCAAACAGUUCAAUCUUAGCUCCAUCAGACCACAGGACAUGUCUCCAAACAUUAGUCUGUUUCCCAGUGUCAUUAAGCUCAUUGUACUCUGGCUUUUCUGUUGAUUGUGGCUUGUUGAUUUUCCCAUGUUGUCAACAUAAACUUACGUAAACAACAACAACAUAAAUACUCUUCUACAGUUGUGCCUCCAAUUAACUCAAACGUUGUCAAUUAGCCAAUCAGAAACUUCCAAAAUCUUGACACAUCCUCUUUUUUCCAGAGGCGUAAUAAUCUAAUUGUAUGUAAACUUGAGUUUCAAGAAGAGUUAUAACAACUUCUCAACAAAUAUCUCUCAUUAUUCUGUUAUUCAGCAUGACAGAAACUAAUCUGAUAAUCCUAACUUACCCAAAAAACAACAAGUUUAGUCACAUUAACAUCUGCCUUAUUUUUAAAUGGUCAUAUGCCUUUUAAUACAGUGGAUAUAAAUUUCAGCUGUACCUCUGGAUACAUAAUUCACAAUCUCCAGAAGUGUAUAUAGGGGGAUGUUUUCAGAAUGAGCAUGUGUUGGCAAAACGCAGCCUUUUAAUGUAAAUCCCAGCAGCAUCACCUUACAAUCUAGUCAAUGACUCAGUAAAUUUAGAGGAUGUACAUCCAUCUUUCAUCUAAUAUGCAAAACAGCAGUGCAAUAUGUAAAAUGGCGCUCUAUUGCUGUAUUUACAUUUGUUUGUGCACAAUUUGUCAAUUAACUUAAGUGGAUUGAACAUAAAACGAUUAAGUUGUGCCACAUAAAAACUCAAGGAUUGUGUUGUUUCAGCUCAUUUUAUAUUAGUUUGAGCACGCAGCAAAACUCUUUUGGUGUCUCGAUUUUUAUUUUAUUUAAAGAUUUAUUUUUGGCAUUCCUGCCUUUAUUUGACAGGAAGUGAAGUGGGAGAGAGAGUGGGGUUGGUCGGUUGUUGCUCGAUCGGAUAUGGAUGCGGCCGGAAGUUAACAAGAUUUAUUAAUAUUAUUUAUGAUAUUUUCUCAUGUAUUGUAUUUUAUUACCGUCACAGUCAUGUAAGAAUAAUAAUUAUUGUUAUACAGUGUCAUAAACAAAUGCUGUUAUAUUAAUAUACAUAUCGCACUUCUGGCCGGCCGCGUAUCCAAACUAGACUUUAACUAGACCGGUAGGUCCUCGAGUCGGGAUUCAAACUCGGGGCAUCCUGAGUGCUUUUGCACCAUAUGUCAGCGCGCUAACCACUGGGAUACCGCACCGAUGUCUUGAUUUAUAUGAACUGAAAAUAGUUUUUUUAAAACAUCUUAAGCGUGAGAUGUUAAAUAUAAAUAUAUAUAUAAAUAAAAUGUAUAUUAAAUUUUAAAAAAUAAUCUAGAAUAUAAAUAUUCAUACAUUUUCUUUCAGCUCAGUCUUCAUUUUAGAGAUCGCCACAGCGGAAUGAACCGCCAACUAUUCCAGCAUAUGUUUUACACAGUGAAUCCCCUUCCAGCCGCAACCCAGUAUUUUAAACAUUAAUCAAUAUCAAAUAUUAAAAUAUAAAAAUAAAAAUGUUAUAAUAUAUAUUCUAAAUAAAUCCAGCUCUCUAUUUUGCUUGCUUUUUGGCUUAGAAUACAUCUUGAAAUAAACAUUACAUUUUCCUACAAACAUCCAGCAGAGUAAUGAUGAAAAUAAUUAGUGCAAACAACAUUAAAAUGAGGGCGACGCGGUGGCGCAGUGGGUAGCACGUUCACCUCACAGCAAGAAGGUCUGGAUGGAAUGGAGUUUGCAUGUUCUCCCCAUGUUGAUGUGGGUUUCCUCCACAGUCCAAAGACAUGUGGUACAGGUGAAUUUGGUAUGCUAAAAUUGUCCGUAGUGUAUGUGUGUGUAUGGAUGUUUCCCGGUGAUGGGUUGCAGCUGAAAGGGCAUCCGCUGCGUAAAACGUGCUGGAUAAGUUGGCGGUUCAUUCCGCUGUGGCGACCCCAGAUUAAUAAAGGGACUAAGCCGAAAAGAAAAUGAAUGAAUGAAUGAAGAUUAAAAUGAUCAUGUCUGCUUGUCGUUUACAUGCACAUCAAUUAAGUUUUCAUUUUAAUUCAGUAAUUUAUAAAGCAUUGGAAUUAGGAUGUAAUUGACAUAUUAAAGGUGUUUUUAAAUGGCAAAUGCCCAUUUUUGGAAUAAAAUUUAAUUUUUGCACAUCAUAAGGAAUGCAAAUUUAAAUAAAUGCAUUGCUAAUUUACAUAUUGCAUUGGUGUUUUGCAUAUUGCAUAUACAGAUGAGUUUAUCUGCUGAUCACAUAUGUAUUUGUGUAUAUUAGUGUGCUGGAGUGGUAAUGCUGCAUGCUCUUUCAUCGUCACGCGGGUUUUCUUAUUUAUUUCUUGUUACUGAUGGAUUUACACUUGAACAAACGGGGGCCAAAUAAGCGGAGCGUUGUUGUUUACUCAGAGAAUGAUUUUUUGAAUAUUCUGUUGUUGUUUAUUUUCUGGAGAGGCCCUGCGUGUCAACAAUGUAUUAAUGAAAGUGUGUUUUAAAUGGAAAAUCUGUUGAGACGGGAUCUUUCAAGUCUCAUGAAGCUUAAUGAACAACAUUCUUCAUCAGAAUGUGAUCUCAACUAUGAAAUAAAUCAUUUUUAAUUAA